ACCAGCUGUGCGGCCGCGGAUAAAAAUCUAGGGCUGCUUCAAGGAUGCAGGCAUCCGCGGCUGGACCAUCUUCCUGCGAUGUGUCGCCGAUGCACCCACCGCGGUGCCGCCU
rnacentral:sRNA from 1 species